GUACACUCCUACGGGAGGCAGCAGUGGGGAAUUUUACGCAAUGGGGGAAACCCUGACGUAGCGACACCGCGUGAGCGAAGAAGCCCUUUGGGGUGUAAAGCUCUGUCAGCUGGAACGAAAACAAUGACGGUACCAGCAGAGGAAGCAUCGGCUAACUACGUGCCAGCAGCCGCGGUAAGACGUAGGAUGCGAGCGUUGUCCGGAUUUAUUGGGCGUAAAGAGUUCGUAGGUGGUUUGUUAAGUUUGGUGUUAAAGAUCGGGGCUCAACCCUGGGACUGCACUGAAUACUGGCAGACUCGAGUGUGGUAGAGGCUAGUGGAAUUCCCAGUGUAGCGGUGAAAUGCGUAGAUAUUGGGAAGAACACCGGUGGCGUAGGCGACUAGCUGGGCCAUAACUGACGCUGAGGAACGAAAGCCAGGGGAGCGAAUGGGAUUAGAAACCCCAGUAGUCCC
rnacentral:rRNA from 1 species